rnacentral:sRNA from 1 species
CGCUGCGCGCCAUUAGUAUUAUUUGUAUUAUUUGUUGAGGGCGAGCAGCAAAUUCUCAAAUGGCAACGGAUUCAAUUGGCAAUGCUGUGGCAAUCAUUCAAGAAUUCUUCUGAUGACAAGAUAAAUUAUCGGUAUCAAUAGUUAGCAAGGGUUGGCAAGUGAAUGUAAACUCCGUAUUAGUUAUUUGAAUUAUUUACAAAAUACCAUGCGAGGUACGCAAAGCUUGCAAGUACAUUCAAUGCAGCAGGACCCCCAACUAGGCAGCCAUCCUCUACCCGGAUGGAAGGUAUGGUCGGACUGAAAAUUUUAGUAAGCAAGAAGCUAGCCCGAAACGAGCAGAAUGAAAAGAGUACAGGAGGCCGGAAACACUCCCAAAUGGCUAUACAACCCAUGAGUUUAUGCGGCCUUUCUGAGAUGAAACAUUAAAAUCGGUGCCUGAAACUUUUAUUCAGUUUCGUCCGAAAGUAAAUCAUCUGCGAUUGGCGACUCAAGUCGGCAGAUACUGUGCAAGGCGAAGCAAACCUAAUAAUAAUAAUAAUAAAUAAUAU